GGGGAGAUAGUUCAAUAGCAGAACGCCUCCCUCGCGAGGAGGUCGGUGCGGGUGCCAAUCCCGCUCUCCCUC
rnacentral:tRNA from 2 species